CAUGCAAGUCGAGCGGACAGAAGGGAGCUUGCUCCCGGAUGUUAGCGGCGGACGGGUGAGUAACACGUGGGUAACCUGCCUGUAAGACUGGGAUAACUCCGGGAAACCGGAGCUAAUACCGGAUAGUUCCUUGAACCGCAUGGUUCAAGGAUGAAAGACGGUUUCGGCUGUCACUUACAGAUGGACCCGCGGCGCAUUAGCUAGUUGGUGGGGUAAUGGCUCACCAAGGCGACGAUGCGUAGCCGACCUGAGAGGGUGAUCGGCCACACUGGGACUGAGACACGGCCCAGACUCCUACGGGAGGCAGCAGUAGGGAAUCUUCCGCAAUGGACGAAAGUCUGACGGAGCAACGCCGCGUGAGUGAUGAAGGUUUUCGGAUCGUAAAGCUCUGUUGUUAGGGAAGAACAAGUGCGAGAGUAACUGCUCGCACCUUGACGGUACCUAACCAGAAAGCCACGGCUAACUACGUGCCAGCAGCCGCGGUAAUACGUAUGUGGAACUCGUUGUCCGGAAUUAUUGGGCGUAAAGGGCUCGCAGGCGGUUUCUUAAGUCUGAUGUGAAAGCCCCCGGCUCAACCGGGGAGGGACAUAGGAAAAUGGCAAACUUGAGUGCAGAAGAGGAGAGUGGAAUUCCACGUGUAGCGGUGAAAUGCGUAGAGGUUUAAUUNGAAGCAACGCGAAGAACCUUACCAGGUCUUGACAUCCUCUGACAACCCUAGAGAUAGGGCUUUCCCUUCGGGGACAGAGUGACAGGUGGUGCAUGGUUGUCGUCAGCUCGUGUCGUGAGAUGUUGGGUUAAGUCCCGCAACGAGCGCAACCCUUGAUCUUAGUUGCCAGCAUUUAGUUGGGCACUCUAAGGUGACUGCCGGUGACAAACCGGAGGAAGGUGGGGAUGACGUCAAAUCAUCAUGCCCCUUAUGACCUGGGCUACACACGUGCUACAAUGGACAGAACAAAGGGCUGCGAGACCGCAAGGUUUAGCCAAUCCCAUAAAUCUGUUCUCAGUUCGGAUCGCAGUCUGCAACUCGACUGCGUGAAGCUGGAAUCGCUAGUAAUCGCGGAUCAGCAUGCCGCGGUGAAUACGUUCCCGGGCCUUGUACACACCGCCCGUCACACCACGAGAGUUUGCAACACCCGAAGUCGGUGAGGUAACCNUUAUGGAGCCAGC
rnacentral:rRNA from 1 species